UAGGGUGGAUCAGUCAUUACUGCUGAAAUGGCUCAGAAUGAAAGAACUGUUCACACCAACUUCUUCAAUGACUUUGAUGAUAUUUUUAACGAUGAAGACUUGGACUAAUAAAAAGAAUUAAUAUUUGCAUUAUUCAGCACUGUUUUAUUGUACAAAAUUAGAUCAAUUUGUGUGUGGAAAUUACUGAAAUUAUUUAGGAAUGACAUCACUAACUCAUAAUUAACAUAACAAUUUUAAUGAUUAUUAACAUUGUGUUUUACAGUAUAGCUAUAUUCAAAUGCAA